rnacentral:miRNA from 1 species
GCUCACUGCUCUUUCUGUCAUC